rnacentral:rRNA from 1 species
AUACGGAGGAUCCAAGCGUCAUCCGGAUUUAUUGGGUUUAAAGGGUGCGUAGGUGGACUGGUAAGUCAGCUGUGAAAGUUUGCGGCUUAACCGUAAAAUUGCAGUUGAUACUGUCAGUCUUGAGUGUGCAUGAGGUGGGCGGAAUUUGUGGUGUAGCGGUGAAAUGCUUAGAUAUCACGAGGAACUCCAAUUGCGAAGGCAGCUCACUGGGGCAUAACUGACGCUGAUGCACGAAGGUGUGGGUAUCAAACAGGAUUAGAUACCCUGGUAGUCCACACAGUAAACUAUGAAUACUCGCUGUUUGCGAUAUACAGUAAGCGGCCAAGCGAAAGCAUUAAGUAUUCCACCUGGGGAGUACGCCGGCAACGGUGAAACUCAAAUGAAUUGACGGGG